ensembl:lncRNA
CGAGGAUGAGGAGGAGGGGGCGCGGCGCCUCAUUAAACCACAGUUUUGGGUUUGGGGCGGCUGGUUUGAAAAUUCUCUGUGUUCACUCAACUAUUGAAAAGUGGAGAUCGAUUCCAGGAGAAGCAGAGAGUUUCUUUUCCCUUUGGAUGAGGUGGCUGGCUGCAGCCUAGGGUUUUUAUUCAGGUCAUCUAGUACAAGGAGAUGAUACGCAACUUCCAGAGGUAACUGACUCACAAUGGACAGAACAGGAGCCAAGAUAAAGAGGCCCUUUCAAGGAAGAGUUCUCCUUCAGCACCAGGAAGCCCAUCUUCACCCACCAACCUGCAAGAGGAGGAGCACAGAGGACCAGAGGAGCAUGGGGGAGGAGAGGAAGGGGAGAGUUGGAAGCUGGAAGGAGAACCAGAACCCAGUCCAGAGAAACAGAGGAACCACGAACCUGCGGAGACCUUACACACAGCCCUCAGAGUUAGGAGCUGGGAUCCUGAAGGAGACAAACUACUCUGAGAACGACUCGUGGAAAACUUGGACCCUUGACCAGAACCGGCCCCAAUAUGCAACAGGUUCCAUGAUGAGAAUAACCAGAGUUGGAGCCAAGGCUCGGGCUGCAGUAGACUGUGGACCGGGGGGCAUGAGCAGUAGACAUGGGAGUGGAGUGCAGGUUCAGUCUGGUAGAGAGCUGAUCCAGUCCAGUAGAGCGCUGCUCCAACCCAAUGGACAGGAUAUCCAGUCCAUUCAGGCUCUGGCCCUGUCCAGCCAGGCUCAGGUCCAGUCCAGCCAGGCUCUGGUCCAGUCCAGCCAGGCUCUGGUCCAGUCCAGGGGGCUGCUGGUGAAGGGCAGUGCGGGCCUGCAGGUCAGGGUGGCUGUGAUCAAGAGGACCCGUCUGGACCCUCUACCCUCUGUCGGGCCACUUGCUGCCCCCACGAUUAACUCCAGAGCACCAGCAGUGAUCUCCGGCCAGGGGGAGAACCCCCGGAGCCACCCCAGUCCGAGGAGGCCUUCCCUGGCCAGAGCUGGUGCCAGCGGUGGGCCUGGCAGCGCCGGGGGAACCCAAGAGCCCGCUCAGGAGAAGGGGGGCCCUGGUGCGACACGUGGCGCGCAGACCGGACCGGAGACCGCAGCGGGCGCCAGAGGCUGUUUCCUGGAGAGCACGGCGGAGCCAACACCGAGAAAGACGAGGAGGAAGAUCAGACUGUCUGGUGUGAGAGGACGAGGUCAACUUCAGCUGUCAAUUCAACUAGAGGGCGAUGGACUUGACAUCCACAUCUACCAGGCCCGAGGGUUGCUGGGAAGAAACUGUGGCUCAUGUGACACAUAUGUCAAGGUAAGAUCAUGUGACACGUAUGAUGAGGUCAGAACGGCCCAACCCCUCAAUAGGACUGGUGUGAUGGGGAUAAAUCUCCUCCAUUAUAGGCAGCCGAGCUAUUUGGAGGAGGAGGUGUUUUCUGUACCCAUAGAUUUUCUCUGUCUGUUAACAGACUGUGUGCAACCAACGUUGAUUGAAUAAGCU